GGGGCUAUAGCUCAGUGGUAGAGCAUUCUCCUUGCAUGUGGAAGGCACUGGGUUCAAUCCUCAGCACCA
rnacentral:tRNA from 1 species